rnacentral:rRNA from 1 species
UACGUAGGGUGCAAGCGUUGUCCGGAAUUAUUGGGCGUAAAGAGCUCGUAGGCGGUCUGUCGCGUCGGCUGUGAAAUCCCGGAGCUCAACUCCGGGUCUGCAGUCGAUACGGGCAAACUGGAGUACUGCAGGGGAGACUGGAAUUCCCGGUGUAGCGGUGAAAUGCGCAGAUAUCGGGAGGAACACCGGUGGCGAAGGCGGUUCUCUGGGCCUGUUCUGACGCUGAGGAGCGAAAGCGUGGGGAGCAAACAGG